rnacentral:rRNA from 1 species
GACGUAGGGCGCGAGCGUUGUCCGGAUUUAUUGGGCGUAAAGAGCUCGUAGGCGGCUUGUUGCGUCGACUGUGAAAACCCGCGGCUUAACUGCGGGCCUGCAGUUGAUACGGGCAGGCUAGAGUCGGUAGGGGAGACUGGAAUUCCUGGUGGUAGCGGUGAAAUGCGCAGAUAUCAAGGAGGAACACCGGUGGCGAAGGCGGGUCUCUGGGCCGGAAUACUGACGUGAGGAGCGAAAGCGUGGGGAGCGAACAGGG